rfam:Perkinsus marinus ATCC 50983 gcontig_1104296667906, whole genome shotgun sequence.
GGCCCUGUGGCGCAACGGUAGCGCAUCUGACUCCAGAUCAGAAAGUUGUCCGUUCGAAUCGGGCCGGGGUCA